AUUUAACGCUGGCGGCGUGCCUAAUACAUGCAAGUAGAACGCAGUUACUAACGGGUGAGUAACGCGUAGGUAACUUCCUGGUAGCGGGGGAGAACUAUUGGAAACGAUAGCAAAUACCGCAGACUACCAGCUGGACCAGCGUUGUUUUAGCUAGUUGGGGGGGUAACGGCUCACCAAGGCAACGAUACCUAGCCGACCUGAGAGGGUGAUCGGCCACACUGGGACUGCGACACGGCCCAGACUCCUACGGGAGGCAGCAGUAGGUAAUCUUCGGCAAUGGUCGGAAGUCUGACCGAGCAACGCCGCGUGAGUGAAGAAGGUUUGCGGAUCGUAAAACUCUGGUGUUAGAGAAGCGGUAUCUAACCAGAAAGCAACGGCUAACUACGUGCCAGCAGCCGCGGUAAUAC
rnacentral:rRNA from 1 species